CGGGAGCUUGUACAGGUGCUGCAUGGCUGUCGUCAGCUCGUGUCGUGAGAUGUCGGUUAAGUCCGCUAACGAGCGCAACCCUCGCUGUGUGUUAUAUGUGUCACACGGGACUGCCGGUCUUAAGCCGGAGGAAGGUGGGAUGAUGUCAAGUCAGCAUGGCCUUUAUAUCCUGGGCUACACACACGCUACAAUGGCCAACACAAUAGGUUGCUAAGCCGCGAGGUGGCGCCAAUCCAUAAAGUUGGUCUCAGUUCAGAUUGUAGGCUGCAACCCGCCUGCAUGAAGAUGGAGUUGCUAGUAACCGCAGGUCAGCUAUACUGCGGUGAAUACGUUCCCGGGGCUU
rnacentral:rRNA from 1 species